rnacentral:rRNA from 1 species
UACGAAGGGGGCUAGCGUUGUUCGGAAUUACUGGGCGUAAAGGGCGCGCAGGCGGUCGUUCAAGUCGAGUGUGAAAGCCCCCGGCUCAACUGGGGAGGGUCACUCGAUACUGAUCGACUUGAAGGCAGGAGAGGGAAGCGGAAUUCCCGGUGUAGUGGUGAAAUGCGUAGAUAUCGGGAGGAACACCAGUGGCGAAGGCGGCUUCCUGGCCUGUUCUUGACGCUGAGGCGCGAAAGCUAGGGGAGCAAACGGG